GUAUGAAGGACUAAACGGAAACUUUACUUUUUUAUAUUUAUGUUAUUUAAAUUUAGUUUUUUAGUUAAAAAACUAAAGUAAAUUAAAGGGACGAGAAGACCCUAUAGAAUUUAAAAAUAAUUUUGGUAUUAAUAUUUUUUGAUUGGGGUGAUCAGAAAAAUUAACUUUUCUUUUAAAUUUGCAUUUUAAAUGUGUAUUGGAUCCUAAAAUUUAGAUAGUAAGAUAAAAUUACCUUAGGGAUAACAGCAUAAUUUUUUUUUGAAGAUCUUAUUUAUAGAAGAGAUUAUGACCUCGAUGUUGAAUUAAUAUAAUAUUUGGGAGCAGAAUUUUAAAUAUAUAGUCUGUUCGACUUUAAAUUUUACAUGAUUUGAGUUCAAACCGGCGUGAGCCAGGUUGGUUUCUAUCUUUUAAUUUU
rnacentral:rRNA from 1 species